UGGGCAAAUUUCCCCCGUACGUUCGCAAUAAGGGGGGCCUCUGGUGGUGAGCUUAAUCGCAAAGCUGCUGGAGGCCGCAGAGAAAUGGCUCCUCCAACUGUUUAACAAAAACACAGGUCUCUGCUAAGUCGAAAGACGAAGUAUAGGGGCUGACGCCUGCCCAGUGCUGGAAGGUUAAGGGGAGAGGUUAGGCGCAAGCCGAAGCUUUGAGCCGAAGCCCCAGUGAACGGCGGCCGUAACAAUAACGGUCCUAAGGUAGCGAAAUUCCUUGUCGGGUAAGAUCCGACCCGCACGAAUGGCGUAAUGAGAGGAGCACUGUCUCAACGAGGGACUCGGCGAACAUUGAAGGACGUGUGAAGAUACACGUGACCCGCAGCGGGACAAAAAGACCCCGUGAAGCUUUACUACAACUUGCCAUUGAGUUAGGGCUAAACCUGUGUAGUAUAGGUGGGAGGCUUUGAAGCUGGGACGCCAGUCUCGGUGGAGCCACCGUUGAAAUACCACCCUGGUUUAUUCUUGGCUCUAACCUGUCGCCGUUAUCCGGCAUGGGAACAGUGGCUGGUGGGUAGUUUGACUGGGGCGGUCGCCUCCGAAAGCGUAACAGAGGCGCCCAAAGGUUCCCUCAGGCUGAAUGGAAACCAGCCGUUGAGUGUAAAGGCACAAGGGAGCUUGACUGCAAGACCAACAAGUCGCGCAGGGACGAAAGUCGGGCUUAGUGAUCCCACGGUUCAGAGUGGAAUGGCCGUGGCUUACCGGAUAAAAGCUACUCCGGGGAUAACAGGGUAGUCUGGUCCAAGAGUUCAUAUCGACGACCAGGUUCGCCACCUCGAUGUCGGCUCAUCACAUCCUGGGGCUGGAUAAGGUCCCAAGGGUUGGGCUGUUCGCCCAUUAAAGUGGUACGUGAGCUGGGUUCAGACCGUCGUGAGACAGGUCGGUCUCUAUCCGCUGUGGGCGUAAGGGAUCUGAGAGAAGCUGCCCCUAGUACGAGAGGACCGGGGUGGACGGACCUCUAGUGUGCCAGUUGUUCUGCCAAGAGCAUUGCUGGGUAGCUACGUCCGGCAGAGAUAACCGCUGAAAGCAUCUAAGUGGGAAACUCGUCUCAAGAUUAGAUCCCUCAUCCGUAUGGAGUAAGACCGCUAGAAGACUACUAGUUUGAUAGGCGGCAGGUGUAAGCGCAGUAAUGUGUUCAGCUUAGCCGUACUAAUGGUCGAGGGCUUACGUUU
rnacentral:rRNA from 1 species